CAGGUGCUCAGGUGAGCCUUUGCUUUGCUUGAGGCCCUGCCCCCGACUGCCCCACCUGCUCCACAGCUCAGUACAAAUGGCCGAGGGUCCCGACCCACUAGUUUUGCGGCCUGGAGUUAAGCCUUCAAGGAGGAGGAACACUGGGACCCAGAGAGAUGAAGAGGCUGCCGGCCAAGGACACCCAGGGAUCCCAGCCCUGACUCACCGUUGGCCAUGAUGCUGGAUUUCUGGACAGCCGGAUCCAUUAUGUUCUGGGCCAGGUGAUUGGCCAAGCCAGGGAGGAGGAAGCAGCUCUGUGGCAGCCAACACAUGACUGAUCGAUGGAAAUGCAAGUGGGCCCUGGGGUGCUGAGGACACAGCCUUCUCUGGGACCCUUGGAGCCAACAUCAGAAGUGGGGUGUUCCCUGGCCUGAAGUUGCUGGCCCCUGAUGCAGACGGUGUCCAGACCUUGGGGUUGAAGAGGUGCCUGCUCACGGGCUGGGACUGCAGUUGGGGAGAAGCCUGCAGUGGUGAUGUGACAGCCCUCUCUGGAGACCCAGGGACCAAGAUCUCCUCUCCAUCUCCAGGUGCAGCCACAUGGGACACUGGCCGGGACUUGGGGGUGCUGUGGGCUGCAGGCUCAGCCACUGCGGAUGGAGCUGGUCUGUGUGUGGCCCCUCUUGGGGCGCCAGAGGGUCCCAAAGGGGCAGGCUGGUUCGGGAGGAGCUGCAAGUCCAGGAGGACACCUAGGAGACCUUGCUGGUCCCCACGGGCCUCAGGGAAAAGGCUUCUUGCCCUCCUGCCAGGAGCCUCCCCUGACUUCUCGGCUGAGGGAGAGACCCCUGCAGGAACUGGCACCAAGCAGUUUAAUGAUGGGAGGAGUAUCUUCUUGCUGCCAGCUCGCAAAGCAGAUGUGCCAGAGGUCCAGGGAGAUGGGCCCAGGUCUUCAUGAGCCGGAGGAAGGGGCAAGGCAGGAGCCAAGACCACCAGGGCAGCUGCAAACCAGGAGAGGCCUUUUCUAUCAGCCACUCAGUGGGCUGGGAACUGGCCCACAGUCUCAGGUGCCUGCCCUCUCUGCCACCUCCCUCCUUUAGGGGACCCGAGGAGACCCAAACCCUGGCCCCGGCUCUGCCCCGAACCACUGGUGUACCUCCAGAGAAAUCUCCCCUCUCUGAUCCAAGCCCACCAGAGACAGGGCAACCCUGCCCUGCCACCAGCAAGGGGGACUGUGAGGGUAAGAGGGUAUACCUCAAGGGUCCCACUCUUUUCUUCCACCCCGUAGCAGGACCCUGUCCCAAGGGAAGUCCUUUCUGGUGAGACCCAGGAUGCUGGAGGGGGCUGGCAAGUGCUGUUCAGCCUCCAACAAGGGAACGAGCCAGUCACCUCAUCACAUUUCCAGAACCCAGGAUGCUUGAGGGCUGAAAGGGGUGAGGGAUGGGGAGGGCCCCAUUUCGGAAAGCCAUAAUGCUACCUCUGGCUGCAAGGGUGCACUGAGCCCCUUGGGGCCAGCCCAAUGCCAGGUUCCCCCGUGAGUGACACUGAGUGCCCUUGGGAAGACCCAAGCCUGGGGGACCGAGGAGGGGAUCAUGGCUCUGUCUCAGGAUCCUCUGAGCUGACAAAGCCAGGUUGACAUGAAGAUAAGGAAGGCCAGCCCUGACGUGGGAGCCAAGGGAGUCCCCGAAGCAAGCCAGUGGGCUCUGGUAUGGGCCCCCCAGGGGCCACACCCCCACUUACCAGCCAGGAGAAUCCCAGCAGAUGGAAGCCACUGCCCAGCCAUGCUGAGAGCUCCUGCUUAGGCUGCCAAGCCCAGAACCAGACGGGAGGAGGCAGGUGGAAGAUUCCCUCCAGGUCUCCCUUCAGGAAAGAAGUACUGCCCAGCCGUGAGCUCUGGUCAGCCGAAGCCUCCAGCUAUGCCCUGAGCUGUGUCUGCCUGGCCUCUUUCCACAGCCCUGCCCUGCAGCUCAGGCGCGAGUCCCCGUGUCCUCCAGCAAAGCCCUUUUCCCCUUGGGCGGCAGGCUCUGUUGAAUGGGGACUGUGUGUGCCAGCGCCACAGCCUGAGAGGUUAUAGGCUUGAACAUCUAUUGAAGAGUGAAAAGUUCUGUCCAGUCUAGGGGUGGGGUGGUCUUCAUGGAGGUGGUGAGGGUCUCAGCGGUGGCAAUGAUCUGGGUAGGGGUAGGAGGGGUGUUAGUGGUGCUGGGGGUGGGGGUGGCUGUGACGACAGUGGCAGUCAUGGCAGAUUUGUGAUGACGGUGGAGGUGGUAACUGUGGUGGGAGCCCUGCAGGUGUCCAGGUGGGAUGGGACUUAGCGGAGGGCAGUGAUGCCCGUUCCCUGCCCCAGCUCCCACCCCAUCAGGCUAGGAGGGGAGUCUGGAGGAGAGCAGAUCAGAGAAUAGUCCCCAUCAUGCCCCCUACACUGGGCCCACAUGGAAUCCUGGCCAGAGGCCUGGACUGGGGAUGUUGGAUGUGGAGGUGGGUGGGCUUUAGGUCAAGGGUUCUCCCCAGGUUCCCCUGCAGACCCAGCAUUCUGGGCAGACCCAGAGCCUCCUACUGGUCCUUGCUGUGGUCAGUCCUGCUUUCCUUUCACUCCCUCCUUCCUCCCCUCGCCCCUGAAGACACAGGAGGAGAAGGAAGAGGGUGGCCCUAAGAAGCUUUGAGCUACUGAGGCAGGAAGGGCAGGGGUCUGGUGCGUUCGUGGGAGCCAGUUAGGCUUGGGGCUUGGACCAUGCUCCACACCUCUCCCUACACCUGGCAGCCAUAGGAGGUUCUCAGCUCUUUCAAAGCCUCUCCUACCAGGCUCCUGGCUUGUGUGUGACCUCCAGGGGGGUCCAAGAUCCUUCCCAGGUCACUCAGGACAGGUAGGCUGCAGAAAACCCCUCAAGGGGAGGUAAUCCCUAGAACCCUUCACAGCAGGAAAUUAGAUCAGAAACUCCUGCCCUCCUUGCCUGCCGCUAGCCACCAACCAGCAACUCCUAACUGAAUGCACCCCUUCCCCUUUCUAAGGGAAAAAUUCCCCCAUGACCCAACACCACCCUAACACAUAUAUCAUCCCAGAAUCAGACAAACGCCCCAGCCCAGCCCUUUUCCUGCCGUUCAACCACAGCUCAACUGCUUUGUAAACCCAAGCUACUGUGUCCACAUACCCAGAGACAGCCAUCUGCACCCAACCCCUUCUGCGUGAGGAGGUUAAGGGUCCAGGCCCCCCAGGCUUUGGGGUGGAUGUCCUCCUAAGUGCAGGCUUUGUUCUUUGACAACUCCUGCCUCCAGGCCUAGUUUCAUGGCCCCCAUUCUCCCACCUGCCCUUCCACAGGUCUAAAUUCUGGCCCAUGACCCCCAUCCUCCAGGCCAGGCAACCCACUCUGGCACCCCCAUUCCAUCUCCCUUGCCUGUGCACCCAAGAUGCCCAGGUCUUACCUGGUGAUGCCAGGAAGCCUCUGUCUUGGGAGAUGUCAGUGUUCCACAAAGGAGAUGGUGAGUGCAGCAACCCCAACCUCCGCCUAGACGGGCAGGGCCGCCCCCUUCCCAGGCACCCUUAGGACCAGGAAGGUUUGGUUUCUGAUGGCUCCAGUCCAAGAGUGAAGGCCACUCACACCCCAGGCCAGGCUGCACUAGACUCUCUCAGCACAGAGGCUGGCUUAGCAGUGAUGGUCAAAACAGGAGCUCCCAGGGACAGGAGAGGGGUGAGGGACAGAAAUGCGCCUGAGGAGCACUCCGCAGCACUGGGCAAGGGCUCUGGGCUCAGGAUCCAGAGGUGGGAGAUGAGGACAUGCUCUCUCUCCCCGUUAAGCCCCUGCUGAUCGAGAACAAUCUCACAGAGAAAGCUCAAUCAAGAACUAGAGAUCAGGGCUCAGGGCUAUGUUUAGAAUCAGGGUUUAGGAUAUGCACAGGGAUGGGGCUCAAUAUGCAUCAGCAUCGGUGCUGGAACUUGCACUAGAGCUGGGCUAGACCUGGGCUGUCUCUGCUCUUUCCCUGCAUUCCAACAGGAAGGCCAUCCCAACACCUGAAAUAACUUGUCUUCAUCCUUGAAAUAAACUGAGUGGGAAUCAGCCCCAGCUCAAGGAUUUCAAAAAAAGAACUUUGAGAAGAUUCACAACCUCUGGGGCAGGAUCUGGAGCCAAGGGCUGGGUAAUAUUCCUCUUCUCGUGGGCCAGCUCAGGCCCCUCCAUCAGGACCUCCCCUCCUCCUCCUCCCAGCUCCACAGCCCUGAGCGGACCAUAGUCUAGCCCGGUUAUGUAGUCUGCUGUUCCGUCUAAGAGCUCUGCACCCUCCCCAUGUCCUGCUCCCUAACACAGCUGAGUACAGAGGGGAGCCCUCUCUCUGUGAUCACUGGGGGCAGUGGCUUCCUGGGGGUCAUCCCAUGAUGCUAGUCCAGCACCAAAAGAGAGGGUGUGUGGAGACCUAGAGAGUCCUGGAGAUCUGUACAGCAGUGAGCAAGAGGGGGAACCCAAGAGGAGAAACAGGACGGGUCAUCCCAGGACUGACCAGGCAGACAUUUGCCUAGACACACCGGCAGUGCGGCCAGCGGAUGCUCAGCUUUGCCUGUGUACCUUCCGGAGGCAAGGCUUCUCUGGCUUCAAAGGUGGGUGUGAAGCUGGUCCUCCCCUUCCUGGCUGUCUCUUCUGGGUUCCCAAUCCCCUAGUUGAGGACUAAGGGUGGGGUGGGGACCAGCUUGCAUGACUCAUGUGCCCUUUGGCAGGUGCCUGCCCAUCCAGACCUUAAUCCCCUGUUACUUUGCUCUUCAGAGAAGGGCUGCUAUGAUGGCCUGAGAGCUCUGGCCACUUGACCAGAACAGAACAGGAGGCUAACGGGAGGAACAGGGAGAAGGGUGGGAGAAGGCUGGGCCCCCUGCAUCCUCUGCUGAAUUCUCAAUUCUCCAUGAGCCUCUGGCUCGCCUGCCUGGCUGACUUUCGUCCUGGCCCACUCCCCAGCCCAGCUCCAGCCCAUGCCCCUCUCCACUCCCACCCCUGCCCAUGGCUGCUGAGGUGGCCACGUGCUAGCUCUGGGAAGGCACAGGAGAGGCGGUAUGAGAGAAGUGGCACCUUCCACUUCAUUGUGCUUCCAGGGACGGUGUCCAGGCCAAGAGAGCAGCCUUAGCAAAGCUCUACAGCUAACUCAGUUCACGCACAGGAGGGAGGGCAGACCCCUCCCCACCGUCCAGCCACUUUCCAGAGCCUCAACUUCCCCAGCUCCCUCUGGGACCCAGCCCAGGCUCCCCCAGGGUCUUGGUUUACAGCCCUGCCCAUCACUGCAUCACUCAGGUACCCAGGAUGUCAACCCACCUAUUCCAAGCAUGUUGACAGGGUCAGAAUCACUCUGUGAGCCCCUGUCAGGAGCAAGUGACAAGUAGAAAUCCCAGCUGAAUCAGGCCAACUGACUGCCUUCCUGCCUCUGGCCUGCCUCUCCCAUGCUUGCCUCACCUGCUACCUGUCCUUUUGCCCUAGGAAAUAACAGUGCCCAUGUAGAAAACCUGGUCCCAGACCUGCUCUUUAUCUCCAAAGGUGCAUCCUCUAAGGAAGGUCAGGGGUCUGACACCUAAUGCCAUUUUUCCUGGGUUUUUCUACCCAGACUGGCCUCUCUCCUGCUGGAACCUCUGCCUGGAUUCCCCCGCUUACCAAGUCAGGCUGUGUGUGGUGUUGAAAGUUGAAUGAAAGGAAAAUCAUGGCUCUCAUACAGAUGGAAAAAUGUUAAAGAUUGUGUUUAAUUCAGUAUUAAUGAGGGAACCAGGCAGACAUUACGACCAGUUCAGAGGAGAAU